AAAGUGCGAAAAGUAAUGCGACACGCAUACCACUGCGAGGCAUCCAGUAUUUGAACGCAAAUGGCACGUAGACAGGAAUGUCUACGUAUGGGCGGUUGAGGGUCGAAUACAGUAUCACGCCUUGAUGGGUGUGGAUGUGUCCCAAAUUGGGAUGGAAUACAUGGGGGGUGUGAUGAUAUGUAAAGUGUUCAUCCCGAGGACAAGGGGAGAGAUUCUCAGUUCAGGGUGGACAUGGAUGAUACGAUGUCAUGUCAUGUCAUAUAUCAUACAUCACCCCCCCACACAUACACCUUGGACAUUCGGCUACGCCGAACGCCCACACUCUUGACCUCAACCCCCCAGGACUACCCGCUGAACUUAA
rnacentral:misc_RNA from 1 species